UACGGAGGGGGCGAGCGUUAUUCGGAAUUAUUGGGCGUAAAGGGCGCGUAGGCGGCUCUUUAAGUCAAAGGUGAAAUCCCUCGGCUCAACUGAGGAACUGCCUUUGAAACUGAGGAGCUUGAGUCCGGGAGGGGGUAGCGGAAUUCCCAGUGUAGCGGUGAAAUGCGUAGAUAUUGGGAGGAACACCAGUGGCGAAGGCGGCUACCUGGACCGGAACUGACGCUGAUGCGCGAAAGCGUGGUAGCAACAGGA
rnacentral:rRNA from 1 species